rnacentral:rRNA from 1 species
UACAGAGGUCCCAAGCGUUGUUCGGAUUCAUUGGGCGUAAAGGGUGCGUAGGUGGCGCCGUAAGUCAGGUGUGAAAUCUCGGGGCUUAACUCCGAAACUGCAUUUGAUACUGCGGUGCUUGAGGACUGGAGAGGAGACUGGAAUUUACGGUGUAGCGGUGAAAUGCGUAGAUAUCGUAAGGAAGACCAGUGGCGAAGGCGGGUCUCGUGGACAGUUCCUGACACUGAGGCACGAAGGCCAGGGGAGCAAACGGGG